UGCCCCUGAAAAUGAACAAAGACACACCUCAUUGGUGGUUUUGCUCUUGUAUCAGUCAGUGGUAAAGCUGAUGAUCCUUUGUUCGACAUAGCUUGAUGUCUGGAUUGGUGGCAAAGCUAUUUCAUGCUUGGGGAACACUU